rnacentral:rRNA from 1 species
AUACGUAGGGGGCGAGCGUUGUCCGGAAUGAUUGGGCGUAAAGGGCGCGUAGGCGGCCCGGUAAGUCUGGAGUGAAAGUCCUGUUUUUAAGAUGGGAAUUGCUUUGGAUACUGCCGCGCUUGAGUGCAGGAGAGGUUAUCGGAAUUCCCGGUGUAGCGGUGAAAUGCGUAGAGAUCGGGAGGAACACCAGUGGCGAAGGCGGGUAACUGGACUGCAACUGACGCUGAGGCGCGAAAGUGUGGGGAGCAAACAGGAUUAGAUACCCUGGUAGUCCACACUGUAAACGAUGAAUGCUAGGUGUAAGAGGUAUCGACCCCUUUUGUGCCGGAGUCAACACAAUAAGCAUUCCGCCUGGGGAGUACGGCCGCAAGGUUGAAACUCAAAUGA